rnacentral:lncRNA from 1 species
UUGGAAGUAACCCAGAUGUCCUUCGAAGGUAAAUGGAUAAACUGUGGUUUAUCAGAGAAGCGCACAUCAAAACCACAAUAACACACCACCUCAUAUCAAAAGACAAAGGGUGAUGAGGGUAUGGAGAAAAGGUAACCCCAGUGCCCUCCUGGUGGGAAUGCAAAUUUGUGCAGACACUAUGGAAAACAGUAUAAAGCUUCUUUAAAAAAAAAAAAAGAUUUUAUUUAUUUAUUCAUGAGAGACAGAGAGAGAAAGAGGCAGAGACACAGGCAGAGGGAGAAGCAGGCUCCAUGCAGGGAGCCUGAUGUGGGACUCGAUCCUGGAUCGAGGAAUUGCAAUCCAUAAAUCAUAAAGACACCUGCAGUCUCAUAUUCAUUGCAGUAUUAUUCACAAUAGCCAAGAUAGAGAAACAACCUGUUUCCAUAUUCAUUCAUCAAUGGGUGGAUGGAAAAGAAGAUGCAGGAUAUUGUGUGUGUAUGUGUUUCAUAUAUUUUGAAGUUAAUUCAUUAGAUACCCAAUUGAAUUUUAAUUUUUUUGAUGAAAUAAAUCUUUUAAUAUUAUGUGGUUACCCUCUGCAGCAGACACUAUUGAGGCUUCAUUUACAAUUCCUCAGAAUUUACCUCUAUGCUGAAGGCCGCUUUCUGUUUGGGGACCAUAUCUGGACACACGUGAGGGCAAGCUGGAAGCACCAGGAGCUAAGACCCUAAAAGAAGUCCUAAACUAAGGAUGCAUGCAGAUCAGUACCCCAGUUGCCUUGCCUCUCAGUUAGGAUUAUCCUGGAAUCUGUUGAUCUAAAAUCUGAUCUCAAUACUGUUCUCCCAGGGUCCCAGAUAGCAUUGGGCUCUGGUUUCCCAAGUAUUAACUGGUUUGAUCACAUGUCCUUUACUAACUUUGACUGCUUUCCUAAUCCACUUCCUUACUAUUCUAUUGAUCUAUUUAUUUCCUGAAAUAAAUAAAUUAUUUGCACUCAAAUUCAAGGCACCUCACUUAGUCCUAAUAUUAAAGGAGGCCAUCUAUCUAACUGGGGUACUUUUGGGAGUCAGAGGGCAUACUAGUUGCUAGGGUAAUCUGAGUAAGCCAGGGCUGUCUUAGGCAAACAGGGUGUAAGGUCAUCCCACUAAUUAGGCUUUUUGUCCCAAAGUCCAUUUGUCUUCUGUUAAUAGCUAUCCCAGUUUCCUCUUGCUUGCUAUUUGCCUGGUAUAUCUUUUUCCACUACUUUUUUUUUUCUUUUUCCAUUAGUUUAUUUUCAGUUUUUGCAAAUCUUUGUUUUGAGUGUAUUUCAUUUAAACAGCAUAUAGCUAGAUUAUUAAAAACAUUAUCUAGGGGUGCCUGGGUGGCUCAGUUGGUUAAGCAACUGCUUUUAGCUCAGAUCAUGACUCCAGGGUCUGUCAAAUAAACAAAUAAAAUCCUAUAUAUUCCAACAGAUUGUAUUUUAACUGAUGAAUUUAGGCCAUUUACAAUUUAUUUAUAAUUUAGCUUUGUUUCUACCAUCUUAUUUUUGGCUUUCUAUUGUCUCACUUUUUCUGUUUUUUCUUUUUUCUUGGUUUAGAUCGUGUUUGUUUGGUUCUUUAUUCUAUUUUCCCUUUUAUUGGUUUGGAACUUUACCA